UGGGGAAUAUUGGGCAAUGGGCGCAAGCCUGACCCAGCAACGCCGCGUGAAGGAUGAAGGUUUUCGGAUCGUAAACUUCUUUGAUCGGGGACGAAAUUGACGGUACCCGAGGAACAAGCCACGGCUAACUACGUGCCAGCAGCCGCGGUAAUACGUAGGUGGCAAGCGUUAUCCGGAAUUACUGGGCGUAAAGGGCGUGUAGGCGGGAAGACAAGUCGGGAGUGAAAUCCCAGGGCUUAACCCUGGAGCUGCUUCCGAAACUGUCUUUCUUGAGUGUCGGAGAGGAAAGUGGAAUUCCCAGUGUAGCGGUGAAAUGCGUAGAGAUUGGGAGGAACACCAGUGGCGAAGGCGACUUUCUGGACGAUAACUGACGCUGAGGCGCGAAAGCGUGGGGAGCAAA
rnacentral:rRNA from 1 species